rnacentral:rRNA from 1 species
GGAGUUAGCCGGUGCUUCUUCUGUGAGUGAUGUCCUUCCUGCCGGCUAUUAACCCGCAGGCCUUCUUCCUCACUGAAAGUGCUUUACAACCCGAAGGCCUUCUUCACACACGCGGCAUGGCUGGAUCAGGGUUGCCCCCAUUGUCCAAUAUUCCCCACUGCUGCCUCCCGUAGGAGUCUGGGCCGUGUCUCAGUCCCAGUGUGGCUGAUCAUCCUCUCAGACCAGCUACGGAUCGUCGCCUUGGUGAGCCGUUACCUCACCAACCAGCUAAUCCGACAUAGGCUCAUCCGAUAGCGCGAGGCCCGAAGGUCCCCCGNUUUCCCCCGUAGGCGUAUGCGGUAUUAGCCUGGGUUUCCCCCAGGGUUAUCCCCCACUACCGGGCAGAUUCCUAUGCAUUACUCACCCGUCCGCCGCUCGCCACCAGGGAGCAAGCUCCCCGUGCUGCCGCUCGACUUGCANGUGUAGCGUGCCGCCAGCGUCAUCUGAGCGAGAUACAACUACUGA